AUAAUUCCUCUGUCAGGACAGAGACAAGAAAACAAAACAGGGUUAUGCAGAUAAACGAAGGAAACAUCUUGAGUUUACUACAACCAACCGCAAAUGAACAUUACUGGUCACAUCGAUCUCGGUAGAGUUCUGAGAGGCCGUCGCCGCGAGGUCAUGGGGAAGACGAGGUGCGAGGAGUGGAAGCUUCGAAGAUUACCACGGCGGAUUCGUUCGGUGCUAUUGUUUUGGGUGGUACCUUUGAUCGAUUGCACGAUGGGCAUCAAUCACGAUCUCUUCAUCCGAUCUGAAAUCAAUCCACCGUGUCUCACCUGCCAUCAUUGCGUGAAGACAGAGUCGUUGCCGUGACGUUCGAUAUUCACUUCACCACUUCUGGUCUAUCAAGGCGUGAUGGUUUAGGAGUGCAUUUCAAUCAACUUAAUUAUGCUUCUGCUCCUUACCUCUGUUGCCAGAACUGUAAAGAAAUGCUUCUGCGAGAGAUCGAGUCUUCUGCGUUUUCAGGGGCAAGCAACAACAGAUCAGCUAUAGUCCUCCUGAUCCAGUCAAGCUUUUAUCCACUUCCCUCUACAAACGGUUUCUCAGCUCUCUUAAUUUAGAUGGAUAGGAGAAGGUAGAGCCAUAAAGGAAACGAAUGGAUCAAGCAUAGGAGUUAAGGCACCCGUAGUAGAAGGAAUUGUUUUGUCUGAGUUUCUUGAUCUGGAAGUACAAUGGUCUGCAAGAGAAGAAACACUGAUGGACUAUCAGUGCAUAAUAAAACACUCUGAAUCUAGGAUGAAUCACUGUCUGGAUGACAUGAGAAUCUUAGUUUAUUUUCGAGACGAGAUGUGCAGGAUAGUGUUUCUUUAAUCUAUAAACAUUAAUCUAUGAAUGAGAUGAUAUCAUAUAUAUAAUCAAUGGUUUAGUUUGUUUGCUUUGAGUUUUGUUUUUACAUCUCCUAAUACUAGACUCAAACAAGCUUUGUUGGUAGGGUGGUGAGGACCAUCCAUAUGAUGAGGGGCUGCUAAUCUCUCUCUGGACUCAAACCCAAUUGUAAACAACAUUGGUCCAGAUAACACCAACAGGUGUGAUGCUGCUGCAACCAUCGAAGGCUGUUCAGAAGUGUCCAAACCGAUUCCUCCGCAAACUGUUCCGCUGGUCAACACGAAGAAACUAUAAAGGAUCUUGAUCACUCCAACUAUGGAGACAAGGUCCAGAUCUUAAGAAACUAUAAAAGAUCCUGAUCACUCCAACUAUGGAGACAAUGAAGCUGGCCAAAAGUUUCCCAAUUCCAUUUCCAGUUCCCAAGUAUUUACAAUUUACUGAAUAAGUCAUUGUCUUUCAACUUCUUAAUUAAUCAGUUCUGGUUUCGUUUGUUCAAGUACAAUUGGUACACAUGGUAAUUUUAGUAUUUAUGUUGAUAUAAAACUUUUUUGUUAACCAGAACAGAUGUAGUUUGUUUAGUAUUUGGUUAACAAUACGAACCCAAAAAUAUGGUUAACAAAUACUAAAAAGCAUAUUUGUGGCAGUUAAAAUUAUAUAGCUACGAUAAAAAAACAAUAUAUUACAAUAAACAGAUGUAGUUUUUUUAUAUAUUAUAAUUAAGCAAGAGAUGUAAUAAUGGAGAUUAAAGUAUAUAGCUGAAAAGUUACAGCAAUACACACUAAUUCGAUAUGAAAUAAAAAAGAGCAUAUAAAAUAAAUUAAUUACUCUCUUAAUAAAAAAAUACUGUUUUCUUCAAAGAAUCAUAACUAUGCAUGGUAUUAUACAAAUUAGUCAACACCUUUGAUUCUCAAUAUUAUAGAGCAUAUAUAAGUAAAUAAUUCAUAAAAAUAAUUGCUCAAACAUAAUAUAUAACCAAUUUAAAACAAAGUCAACUCAAAUAUUUGAGGAAGCUUAUAUCCAAAGCGUAGCGGAAAGUUUAAAUUUAUAUAUUAACAACAAAUAUAUAAUAUUUAAAGAGCAUAUACAAGUAAAUAAUUCAUCAAAAUAAUUGUUCAAACAUAAUAUAUAACCAAUCUACUAAAACAAAAUCAAAUCAAAUAUUUAAGGAAGCUUACAUCCUGAGCGUAGCGAAAAAUUUAAAUUUAUAUAUUAACUCAAAUAUAGAAGUAAUUGAGUAUACAUUCAGAUCAAUUACUUCUAUAAAUUUUAAAAGAUAUAUACAUAUAUAUAUAUAUAUAUAUAUUUGAAAAGGACAAAAUGAUUUGUACUUUCUGAUCAAAAACCAAGCUUACAUCUUCUAUAAUUCAUUUGUGAUAUGAUUGAUCUGAGAACAAAAUGAUGUGUACUACCUUACUGCUUCUAAUUUGUUCCAAGUCAUGAAGGGAACAUCUGCACUUUUUUGUGAAAUUGCAGGUUUGCUUUGCUCUCCGUGUUAAGACCCAAGAUCAAUUCAGAUGUGUAAUUCAGAGAGUUUUAUAUGGUUCUCUGCGGCAAGAUAAAGUACAAGAAAAUUAUUUUGUCAGAGAUAUAUACAUAUUUUACAAUAUGGAAAUUGUGAAUGAUGUAGCUGAGAUGAUAUAACAGUAUUAUAUUUUUUUUUAAACACAAAUUUUAUUCAUAAAUGGAAACAUCAUAGUAAAUUAACCAAAUGUGCAUUCUAAAUACUUAAAGAGGUAAGUGCAUAAAUUAAAUGUUAUAAAGUAUACAGAGGUGAUAGUAUAGAAAAGUUAAUAGAGAAUUUUAUAAUUUAUUUGGCUCUGCACACAUAAUUAUCUUUAACAGGUAACUUUUAAUAAAUCAAAUUACAAAAGUUCUCAUCAUGUUUUAUUUACAACAAAAUAAUGAAAAGUUAAUAAGACAACCUAUACUAAUAUGAAAAUAUUUUUCGGACCAAUAUAUUUCUUUUGUUUUAAGAUGAAAAUAACAAUAAUUCCACAAAAAAUACGUCAACAGAAAAACAAAUUCAAUUAAAAUAUACAUCGAACUCAAAACAUACAGCACACCAUAUUAUUUAACUACUCUUAAAAGAAAAAUUUAAAGCAUAUAGUUUUUAGCCACAAUUGAAAAAUAUCUCAAACAAAAAAUACCAUUCUAAAAAUAACUAAUAACCUAAUUGUAAAGAGUAUGAUUUUUUUAAAAUAAUUCAAUAGCAUAAAAAUAAUUCUGAAAAUAAGAAUGUAAUUUACAAUAAAAAAUC